AGUCGAACGAGAAUCUACUGAAAGAGUUUUCGGACAAUGGAUGUAGAGGAAAGUGGCGGACGGGUGAGUAACGCGUGAGGAACCUGCCUUGAAGAGGGGGACAACAGUUGGAAACGACUGCUAAUACCGCAUAACGCAUAGGGGUCGCAUGAUCUUUAUGCCAAAGAUUUAUUGCUUCAAGAUGGCCUCGCGUCUGAUUAGCUAGUUGGCGGGGUAACGGCCCACCAAGGCGACGAUCAGUAGCCGGACUGAGAGGUUGAACGGCCACAUUGGGACUGAGAUACGGCCCAGACUCCUACGGGAGGCAGCAGUGGGGAAUAUUGGGCAAUGGGCGCAAGCCUGACCCAGCAACGCCGCGUGAAGGAAGAAGGCUUUCGGGUUGUAAACUUCUUUUAAGAGGGAAGAGUAGAAGACGGUACCUCUAGAAUAAGCCACGGCUAACUACGUGCCAGCAGCCGCGGUAAUACGUAGGUGGCAAGCGUUGUCCGGAUUUACUGGGUGUAAAGGGCGUGCAGCCGGGUCUGCAAGUCAGAUGUGAAAUCCAUGGGCUCAACCCAUGAACUGCAUUUGAAACUGUAGAUCUUGAGUGUCGGA
rnacentral:rRNA from 1 species